rnacentral:rRNA from 1 species
UACGUAGGGGGCAAGCGUUGUCCGGAUUUACUGGGCGUAAAGAGCGUGUAGGCGGCCAAGCAGGUCCGUUGUGAAAACUGGAGGCUUAACCUCCAGACGUCGACGGAAACCGCGUGGCUAGAGUCCGGAAGAGGAGAAUGGAAUUCCCGGUGUAGCGGUGAAAUGCGCAGAUAUCGGGAAGAACACCCGUGGCGAAGGCGGUUCUCUGGGACGGUACUGACGCUGAGACGCGAAAGCGUGGGGAGCGAACAGG